GUAGGGAAUAUUGGGCAAUGGUCGGAAGACUGACCCAGCCAUGCCGCGUGCAGGAAGACGGCCCUCUGGGUUGUAAACUGCUUUUAUCUGGGAAGAAAAAGGCCAUGCGUGGCAAAUUGCCGGUACCAGAUGAAUAAGCACCGGCUAACUCCGUGCCAGCAGCCGCGGUAAUACGGAGGGUGCGAGCGUUGUCCGGAUUUAUUGGGUUUAAAGGGUGCGUAGGCGGCUGAUUAAGUCAUCGGUGAAAGACUUCGGCUUAACCGGAGCAGUGCCGUUGAUACUGGUUGUCUUGAGUGUCGGAGGGGUACAUGGAAUUGAUGGUGUAGCGGUGAAAUGCAUAGAUACCAUCAGGAACACCGAUAGCGAAGGCAUUGUACUGGCCGACAACUGACGCUGAUGCACGAAAGUGUGGGGAUCGAACAGGAUUAGAAACCCCGGUAGUCC
rnacentral:rRNA from 1 species